AAGACCUUAGUAAAACCAUUACAUGGCCCUGUCAGAGCUAAAUUAUAGGCUACCCGGCCUAUAGGUCUUA
rnacentral:tRNA from 1 species